rnacentral:rRNA from 1 species
GAAAGUCUGACGGAGCAACGCCGCGUGAGUGAUGAAGGUUUUCGGAUCGUAAAGCUCUGUUGUUAGGGAAGAACAAGUGCCGUUCAAAUAGGGCGGCACCUUGACGGUACCUAACCAGAAAGCCACGGCUAACUACGUGCCAGCAGCCGCGGUAAUACGUAGGUGGCAAGCGUUGUCCGGAAUUAUUGGGCGUAAAGGGCUCGCAGGCGGUUUCUUAAGUCUGAUGUGAAAGCCCCCGGCUCAACCGGGGAGGGUCAUUGGAAACUGGGGAACUUGAGUGCAGAAGAGGAGAGUGGAAUUCCACGUGUAGCGGUGAAAUGCGUAGAGAUGUGGAGGAACACCAGUGGCGAAGGCGACUCUCUGGUCUGUAACUGACGCUGAGGAGCGAAAGCGUGGGGAGC